CCUACGGGGGGCUGCAGUGAGGAAUAUUGGUCAAUGGACGAGAGUCUGAACCAGCCAAGUAGCGUGAAGGAUGACUGCCCUAUGGGUUGUAAACUUCUUUUAUAUGGGAAUAAAAUGUUCCACGUGUGGGAUUUUGUAUGUACCAUAUGAAUAAGGAUCGGCUAACUCCGUGCCAGCAGCCGCGGUAAUACGGAGGAUCCGAGCGUUAUCCGGAUUUAUUGGGUUUAAAGGGAGCGUAGGUGGUUGGUUAAGUCAGUUGUGAAAGUUUGCGGCUCAACCGUAAAAUUGCAGUUGAAACUGGCAGUCUUGAGUACAGUAGAGGUAGGCGGAAUUCGUGGUGUAGCGGUGAAAUGCUUAGAUAUCACGAAGAACUCCGAUGGCGAAGGCAGUUCACUGGACUGCAACUGACACUGAGGCUCGAAAGUGUGGGUAUCAAACAGGAUUAGAUACCCUUGUAGUC
rnacentral:rRNA from 1 species